AGUGAACGCUGGCGGUAGGCCUAACACAUGCAAGUCGAACGGCAGCACAGUAAGAGCUUGCUCUUACGGGUGGCGAGUGGCGGACGGGUGAGGAAUACAUCGGAAUCUACUUUUUCGUGGGGGAUAACGUAGGGAAACUUACGCUAAUACCGCAUACGACCUACGGGUGAAAGCAGGGGAUCUUCGGACCUUGCGCGAUUGAAUGCGCCGAUGUCGGAUUAGCUGGUUGGCGGGGUAAAGGCCCACCAAGGCGACGAUCCGUAGCUGGUCUGAGAGGAUGAUCGGCCACACUGGAACUGAGACACGGUCCAGACUCCUACGGGAGGCAGCAGUGGGGAAUAUUGGACAAUGGGCGCAAGCCUGAUCCAGCCAUACCGCGUGGGUGAAGAAGGCCUUCGGGUUGUAAAGCCCUUUUGUUGGGAAAGAAAAGCAGCAGGUUAAUACCCCGCUGUUCUGACGUUACCCAAAGAAUAAGCACCGGCUAACUUCGUG
rnacentral:rRNA from 1 species